rnacentral:rRNA from 1 species
AUGAACGCUGGCGGCGUGCCUAAUACAUGCAAGUCGAGCGAACAGACGAGGAGCUUGCCCCUCUGACGUUAGCGGCGGACGGGUGAGUAACACGUGGAUAACCUACCUAUAAGACUGGGAUAACUUCGGGAAACCGGAGCUAAUACCGGAAAAUAUAUUGAACCGCAUGGUUCAAUAGUGAAAGACGGUUUUGCUGUACCUUAUAGAUGGAUCCGCGCCGCAUUAGCUAGUUGGUAAGGUAACGGCUUACCAAGGCAACGAUGCGUAGCCGACCUAUGAGGGUGAUCGGCCACACAGGAACUGAGACACGAUCCAGACUCCUACGGGAGGCAGCAGUAGGGAAUCUUCCGCAAUGGGCCAAAACCUGACGGAGCAACACCACGUGAGUGAUGAAGGUCUUCGGAUCGUAAAACUCUGUUAUUAGAGAAAAACAAAUGUGUAAGUAACUAUGCACGACUUGACGGUACCUAAGCAGAAGGCCACGGCUAAGUACGUG